rnacentral:rRNA from 1 species
AAGAAUUUAAAGGUCGAACAGACCUAUAUAUUAAGCGGCUACACCUAAUUAUUAUCUUAAUCCAACAUCGAGGUCGCAAGCCUUCCUGUAAAUAUGAACUCUGGAGGAAGAUUACGCUGUUAUCCCUAAGGUAACUUAUUCUAACAAUCAAUAAGAUUGGAUCUAAUAACCAUAAAUUAAUGUUUAAUAGAUAAAAAAGUUAAUUUUAUAUUUUUGUCACCCCAACAAAAUACCUAAAUUAAUAAUAAAAAUUAAUAUUCAAAAAAUUAUUAAUAAAAUUAAAUAUAAAGCUCUAUAGGGUCUUCUCGUCUUCCAAUAUUAUUUCAGCCUUUUGACUGAAAAGUUAAAUUUUAAUUUCAAAUUAAAUGAGACAGUCAGCACCUCGUCAAACCUUUCAUACCAGCCCUCUAUUAAAAGACUAAUGAUUAUGCUACCUUUGCACGGUCAAAAUACCGCGGCCGUUAAAUAAUUUUUCACUGGGCAGGUCAGACUUCUUAUUUUAUC